GGCUUUGAAGAGAAACCAGCCUGUGGAUCAAUUAGCGAGGCGGAAAUUGCUUUCUCAUCCUACAAGUCCUUGUGCAACAAUAUUUCUCGUCAGCUAAUUUGGGCAGUUGCAGAAAAUUACCGCUUUGAGCCAGCUUUUGUCGAGUGCAGAAGACUAGUAAAUGAUAUUGGUGAAAUGAUGAACAUCCAUGUAAUAGUUGAGGGCUCUAUGAACAGUUCGAAUCCCUAUUUUUCAAGCUCUUGGCGUCGCAAUUUUACU